CUCACUUCAAGAUAGUCUCCUUAGGAGCACACCAAAGAACACAGCUUUGUUGGAGAUUUUUCCCAACUACUGCAAACUGUCACCUUCAUCAUCCCAUUGCCAAGAGGCACAAGACAAAGAAAGACCCACCAUUUAAGAUGACUCCCUACUCUCAUGACACUGUGUGGGACCAAAUGCCUGGAGAUUAAAACUGGACAGCUGGAAGAACUUCAGCACAAACUGGAUUCAUUCAAGAAGAGAAAAGCAUGUGUUACUUUCCUAUUAACAUGUAAUAGGUUCAGAAUCACACCUCAUUCCCUAGUUUUUAGCUUCAUUUUGGCUUGCUGUAAGGAUUGACAGGAGAUACGUGAGCUUUACUGGGCAAGGAGGCCUACCUAGAAGGUACAACACCUCUUUAUACACAUAUUCACAACAGGAAAAGAGAUAGAAAGCGAUUCCACUAUGACAUUCCCUAGCACAGAUAAAAACUCUUAGUACUGUUUUCUCUGUGUGUGUUUCCCUAAAAAAAGACAACCUUGGGGAGGCAGAUGAGCAAGAAAGAGCAUGUAAGGAUAGAGACAAGAAUAUUUCAAAUUUUAAGCUCAUCUCUCCCCUUGAUCCCUCUCCAAUUUAUUCCCUCUGUCUCAAAAAAAAAAAAAAAAUCAGAACUAAAGAUCCAAAGCAUGUGAGACAGGAAAUGAGUAAGGCAGGAAGAGGAUGUGGUCUGAAAAAGCGUGGAUUCUGGGGCUGAGCCAGAGCAAAUAGGCAGCCCAGGUCAGAGCUGGGGGAAGGGGAUCUCUGGCAGAAAAGACAAUCUCAGGGUCAGUCAGCUUAGACUCAAGUCAAUGACAGACUCAGAACAAAACACCUUCCUAUGAGGUUGUCCUCCACAAGAGAGUGCAGAGCCCACAGACAUGUUUGGAGACCUGCAGCCAGAAAACUGUUUCUGCCACAGAAGGAAGGGGUUGGCAGUUUCCUCUUCACUUCCAGGGAAGGAAGCAGUAUGUAUGAAGCCCACUUGGCAGAGGCAAAAUGAUGGGACUCCCUACAACUCCUGGCGACCCAAAUCUAAACACUAGCCAUAGGUUCGCAUUCUGGCCGUGCAUAUUACCUCCCUCUCUCUGGACGUCAAUUUAAACAGACGCUCAGACUCCGGAUUUAACGGAAGGAGCCCCCAGACGCAGCAUACCUUCGUUUGGCACCGGAGGGUGAGAAAACGCUCUUCUAAAAAUGGAAGAGGAGCCACAGAACAGCUUGCCCUUUCCCAUCAAUACAAGCCCCCGCGGGACGCGGGACACGGGGAUCCGGAGGCCCGGAGCGGGAGCAUUGGCCGGCGGGACCGAGA